rnacentral:rRNA from 1 species
AAAUUGAACGCUGGCGGAAUGCUUUACACAUGCAAGUCGAACGGCAGCACGGACUUCGGUCUGGUGGCGAGUGGCGAACGGGUGAGUAAUAUAUCGGAACGUAUCCAAUAAUGGGGGAUAACUAAUCGAAAGGUUGGCUAAUACCGCAUACGCCCUACGGGGGAAAGCUAGGGAUCUUCGGACCUGGCGUUAAUGGAGCGGCCGAUAUCUGAUUAGCUAGUUGGUGAGGUAAAGGCUCACCAAGGCGACGAUCAGUAGCUGGUCUGAGAGGACGACCAGCCACACUGGAACUGAGACACGGUCCAGACUCCUACGGGAGGCAGCAGUGGGGAAUUUUGGACAAUGGGCGCAAGCCUGAUCCAGCCAUUCCGCGUGAGUGAAGAAGGCCUUCGGGUUGUAAAGCUCUUUCGCAAGGGAAGAAAACUUAUCCUCUAACAUAGGAUGAGGUUGACGGUACCUUGAUAAGAAGCACCGGCUAACUACGUGCCAGCAGCCGCGGUAAUACGUAGGGUGCGAGCGUUAAUCGGAAUUACUGGGCGUAAAGCGUGCGCAGGCUGUUCUGUAAGUCAGAUGUGAAAUCCCCGAGCUCAACUUGGGAACUGCGUUUGAAACUACAGGACUAGAAUAUGUCAGAGGGGGGUAGAAUUCCACGUGUAGCAGUGAAAUGCGUAGAGAUGUGGAGGAAUACCAAUGGCGAAGGCAGCCCCCUGGGAUAAUAUUGACGCUCAUGCACGAAAGCGUGGGGAGCAAACAGGAUUAGAUACCCUGGUAGUCCACGCCCUAAACGAUGUCUACUAGUUGUUGGUGGAGUAAAAUCCAUGAGUAACGCAGCUAACGCGUGAAGUUGACC